rnacentral:lncRNA from 1 species
UUGACGGAUGUGAAGAAUGUCCUCGGGGUCAAGGACCCCUGAAAAGACUCCACACGCUGUAGCCUCACUCCACCUCAGAAACCGUCCUUAAGGGCUCAGCCCCAGCAAUUCACGAGGCCUCUGUCCUCUCAGUCAGAAUUCGGUAGUUUUGGAUUCCUUGUGAGGUAAUAGCUUCACAGGGCUUUUGGACACAGCUUUGGGAAUGAACAUCCCUGAGGAGAUGCUGGCCCGUUCAUCUAACCCCGUUGGGGAUCUGACGUCUUGUUGGUUUUGGGGAAGAAUCUGUUUCUUCCGGAAAUACUGCGGACUGCCCCGCUGUGGUUAGAUCAAGUCCUAGAGGGUUUGACGCGUGGGCAGUGAACUGAUAGAGGGGUUUUGUGCUCUGCAAAUGUGUUCCUGGUCUGAGAAAUAACUUCUCCCCAAAAC